rnacentral:rasiRNA from 1 species
UUCCAAGAGAAAUAACCAAAACACC